ensembl:lncRNA
GCCUCCUCCUGGCCCGGCAGGAGCUUCUCUGUACAUGUUCUUAUUCCAACAAGUCUGGAAUCAAUUCCAUUUUCGGCUCCACCUUUUUUUUUUUUUUUCACUCAUGCAGAGUGGAAUGCAGGAUUUUAGUUCCCUGACCAGGGAUCGAACAUGUGCCUCUCCCAGCUUUGGGAACACAGAAUCUUAACCACUGGAGGAAGUUCCCCACAUAACUUCUGAAAGUCUGCUGACAAGCCACAUUCUGGAUAAACACUUCCCUGCUCUCCAGAGCUAAGCAGGAAGUUUCUUCCUCUAAGCUCUUCCAGCUUCUGAGGGUCACUUUAUGCAAGCUGUCCUCUUUCAUGUUGAAUCAGAUCUUUCUUCUUCCAAUGCAUGGUGCAGAACUAUAGAGAACAUGGAACUGGAUUUUACAGGAGAGCAACCAUUACAGAAUCUGAGGCAUUACCUACACGGCCACCACAGAGUUUAUUACUGUAACAUCUUGAAGGAAAAAAUCCUCUGAAUCUCAGCUGAUCAUUUAGGUUUUAGAAAGUCCAGAUCAUCAGGAUGACCUUCCCCCUUCUGUCACUUAAACAGAAGUAUUCCACAAGAAGGGACGGAGUUUGUCUUAACCACAACUGUAUCCAUCCCCAGUUCCAAAUACAAGAUUGGUGCACAGCAGAGUUGAAUAUCUACAUGUUAAUUGGAUCAAUAUCCUUAAGAACAUAAGUGUUAGCAAAAAAAAAAAAAAAAAAGUGUUUGUGGAU